rnacentral:rRNA from 1 species
AUUGAACGCUGGCGGCAUGCCUUACACAUGCAAGUCGAACGGUAACAGGUCUUCGGAUGCUGACGAGUGGCGAACGGGUGAGUAAUACAUCGGAACGUGCCCGAGAGUGGGGGAUAACGAGGCGAAAGCUUUGCUAAUACCGCAUACGAUCUCAGGAUGAAGGCAGGGGACCGCAAGGCCUUGCGCUCACGGAGCGGCCGAUGGCAGAUUAGGUAGUUGGUGGGAUAAAAGCUUACCAAGCCGACGAUCUGUAGCUGGUCUGAGAGGACGACCAGCCACACUGGGACUGAGACACGGCCCAGACUCCUACGGGAGGCAGCAGUGGGGAAUUUUGGACAAUGGGCGCAAGCCUGAUCCAGCCAUGCCGCGUGCAGGAUGAAGGCCUUCGGGUUGUAAACUGCUUUUGUACGGAACGAAAAGACUCUGGUUAAUACCUGGGGUCCAUGACGGUACCGUAAGAAUAAGCACCGGCUAACUACGUGCCAGCAGCCGCAGUAAAAC